AAGGGGGGACGGAGAAGGCUAUGUUGGCCGGGCGACGGUUGUCCCGGUUUAAGCGUGUAGGCUGGUUUUCCAGGCAAAUCCGGAAAAUCAAGGCUGAGGCGUGAUGACGAGGCACUACGGUGCUGAAGCAACAAAUGCCCUGCUUCCAGGAAAAGCCUCUAAGCAUCAGGUAACAUCAAAUCGUACCCCAAACCGACACAGGUGGUCAGGUAGAGAAUACCAAGGCGCUUGA
rnacentral:rRNA from 1 species